AGCAGCCGCGGUAAUUCCAGCUCCAAUAGCGUAUAUUAAAGUUGUUGCAGUUAAAAGGCUCGUAGUUGAAUUUCGGGAUCAAUACGUCGGUCGUGCCUCUGGUAUGUACUGGUGUUAUUGAUUUCUCCCUUCUGAUGAACCAUGAUGUCAUUCAUUUGGUGUUGUGUGGAGUCAGGACUGUUACUUUGAAAAAUUAGAGUGUUUAAAGCAGGCUCACGCUUGAAUACAUUAGCAUGGAAUAAUGAAAUAGGACGUUCGAUCCUAUUUUGUUGGUUUCUAGGAUCAACGUAAUGAUUAAUAGGGAUAGUUGGGGCAUUAGUAUUCAAUUGUCAGAGGUAAAAUUCUUGGAUUUAUUGAAGACUAACUACUGCGAAAGCAUUUGCCAAGGAUGUUUCAUUAAU
rnacentral:rRNA from 1 species